AAACUCAAGUUGGUUCAGGGAAUUGUCAACAAAGGGACGAGAGACGCGCAACUCCGCUCCGCACUGUGCGCCAGCAUCCCCGGGGCACGGAGGGCGCUGCGGCCCGCCCGGAGACCCCCCCACCCAGGCUGGAUCCGGGCCCUGGGGCCCAGGGAGCGGGUGGGUGUGAGUGUGGGUGGGUGUGAGCGAGUCAGGGCGUGGGCCUGGGAGCGUCCGCGGGACUGUGCGACUGUCGCUGCCCUGCCUUCCCCGCCCCCUCUCCCUUCCGCCCUUCUCCCCCCCACUUUGUCACACUCCUUAGACAGGGACUGGGCGACCUAGAACGAGGUUCCCAUAUCGUGUUUUAAAAAGCAAAACUUAGUCUCUGUUUUGCUUUUUGUUUCAUUGUUUUUAGCUUUAAAGAGUAAGAGCAGCGCACCCGGCUCCCUCCUGCUAAUUAGAUUUCAGAUUCCCCUCUGGCCUCAGUGCUCAUUCCGGGGAAGACACCUGCUGAGAUGUCUUUUUCCCCCUCCCCCAACCAAACCACUCAGGUCCUACCUGCUCUUUCCCGGCUUGAUGCGGGCGUGUUUUCCUGUAUGUAUUUUUUCGUGCGGCCACAAAAAGCAUCAGCUGGGGUUCCCGAAGGUCAGAAAAUGGCUAUUGAUUAAUCUACUAGAAUAGUUGCCGAGAGAAAUAAAAACGACGUAAAAUAGCAGGGAACCUAUAAAUAAAGAAGCCAUAACUGGCUACUUGGAGUUGUUAAACGACUUAGCAUAUGAAAAAAUCGGAAAUGAGGCGCUGGGGAAGGAGCUGGGAUUGGCAGCGGCCUGGGUAAGUCGAGUGGAUCCGGGAAGAGGCCUGGUGUCUUCAGGUGUGGACAAAUCCUCCAAGAUUUAACUUCCAAGAAAACCGGCGGCGGAGCGGGUGGAGGAGGCGAGGAUGUGUGGCCAAUGCACGCGGAGUGCAAGGCCGCCUAGUUGGGAGCCGCAAGAGCCUGCCUGGUGUGGCAGGCACACGGAACCCAAUCCCUGUCUGUCCGCUGCGGCCUGGGAGGGGAGCGCCGGCCUCACCAGAGGAAGGAGCACGAGGGGAGGAGUUCCGAGAGGAAAUAAUUAGUGAAAUAUUUGCAGAAGAUGCUGGGAUGUGGAUUUAAUUCCGGAUGGACAGUGGUGCUUCUGAUUCCCUCAGUCUGUUUCCCCACCCACGAUCUCCUCUUUCCUUGGCCUAGACACACCAAAAAUAAUUCAAUAAAAUAAAAAUAAAAAUUUAAAAAUCUGUAAA
rnacentral:lncRNA from 1 species